GAGCGGUGGUGGACGGCUUACCGAGAGGAGGAAAGUCCCCCCACCCGAAAAGAUGGGCUCCGCAAGGAGCAUCCCCGAGAGGGGAUCGGGCGGGAACAGAAAACCCCCGGCAGGGGGAAAUGCGAUGAGGCCGAAGGGCAGAGAUCACUCCUGCUGGUUGAAAUUCCGGCCCGCCAUCGGGUGCAAGGCUCAAUGCCGCUCAGACUGAUGCCGUCGGAACAGAAGGGGGCUUACUACCACCACUC
rnacentral:RNase_P_RNA from 1 species